UACGUAGGAGGCAAGCGUUGUCCGGAAUUACUGGGCGUAAAGGGCGCGUAGGCGGUUUGCUAAGUUAGAUGUGAAAACUCUGGGCUCAACCCAGAGCCUGCAUCUAAAACUGGCAGGCUAGAGUUCUGGAGGGGUAGCGGAAUUCCUGGUGUAGCGGUGAAAUGCGUAGAUAUCAGGAGGAACACCGGUGGCGAAGGCGGCUACCUGGACAAGAAACUGACGCUGAGGCGCGAAAGCUAGGGGAGCAAACAGG
rnacentral:rRNA from 1 species